rnacentral:rRNA from 1 species
UAGCAUAUCAAUAAGCGGAGGAAAAGAAACCAACAGGGAUUGCCCUAGUAACGGCGAGUGAAGCGGCAACAGCUCAAAUUUGAAAUCUGGCUCUCUUUGGGGGUCCGAGUUGUAAUUUGCAGAGGAUGCUUUGGCAUUGGCGGCGGUCUAAGUUCCUUGGAACAGGACAUCGCAGAGGGUGAGAAUCCCGUACGUGGGCGCCUGCCUUUGCCGUGUAAAGCUCCUUCGACGAGUCGAGUUGUUUGGGAAUGCAGCUCUAAAUGGGAGGUAAAUUUCUUCUAAAGCUAAAUACCGGCCAGAGACCGAUAGCGCACAAGUAGAGUGAUCGAAAGAUGAAAAGUACUUUGGAAAGAGAGUCAAAAAGCACGUGAAAUUGUUGAAAGGGAAGCGCUUGCAGCCAGACUUGCCCGCAGUUGCUCACCUAGGCUUUGGCCUGGGGCACUCUUCUGCGGGCAGGCCAGCAUCAGUUUGGGCGGUCGGAUAAAGGCCUCUGUCACGUAUCUUCCUUCGGGAUGACCUUAUAGGGGAGGCGUAAUGCGACCAGCCCGGACUGAGGUCCGCGCAUCUGCUAGGAUGCUGGCGUAAUGGCUGUAAGCGGCCCGUCUUGAAACACGGACCAAGGAGUCUAACAUCUAUGCGAGUGUUUGGGUGUCAAGCCCGGGCGCGUAAUGAAAGUGAACGGAGGUGGGAACCCUUUGGGUGCACCAUCGACCGAUCCUGAUGUCUUCGGAUGGAUUUGAGUAAGAGCAUAGCUGUUGGGACCCGAAAGAUGGUGAACUAUGCUUGAAUAGGGUGAAGCCAGAGGAAACUCUGGUGGAGGCUCGCAGCGGUUCUGACGUGCAAAUCGAUCGUCAAAUUUGGGCAUAGGGGCGAAAGACUAAUCGAACCAUCUAGUAGCUGGUUCCUGCCGAUUU